rnacentral:rRNA from 1 species
UACAGAGGUCUCAAGCGUUGUUCGGAUUCGUUGGGCGUAAAGGGUGCGUAGGCGGCGCGGUAAGUCGGGUGUGAAAUCUCGGGGCUUAACUCCGAAACUGCAUUCGAUACUGCCGUGCUUGAGGACUGGAGAGGAGACUGGAAUUUACGGUGUAGCGGUGAAAUGCGUAGAUAUCGUAAGGAAGACCAGUGGCGAAGGCGGGUCUCUGGACAGUUCCUGACGCUGAGGAGCGAAAGCGUGGGGAGCGAACAGG